AGAGUUUGAUCCUGGCUCAGAGCGAACGUUAGCGGCGGGCCUAACACAUGCAAGUCGAGCGAGAACGGGGCUUCGGCCUCUAGUAAAGCGGCGGACGGGUGAGUAACACGUAGGUAAUCUUCUUGAGCGGGGGACAACGUUCCGAAAGGGACGCUAAUACCGCAUACGUUCUCCGAGACUCCGGUCUUGGAGAGGAAAGC
rnacentral:rRNA from 1 species